rnacentral:ncRNA from 1 species
GUAAAGUUUGAUUCUGUCUUAGUUACUUAUGAGGUUACUAAAAUUGUAUGGGAACCGAAGUGUGUAUUUAAUAAAUUACUUAAAGUAUUAAUAGAAUAUAAUGAAAGAAUUAUUUUUAUUUAGUUUAAAUCCCAGCAUAAAGUUUUAAAAAAGAUUAAUUUAUUAAAGUAGGAUUUAGUAGUAAGUUAAGAUCUGGUGAAAUAUUGUGCCAGCAGUCGCGGUUAGACUUUAAGGUCAAAUAAGUAAUAACUUGGUUAUGGUUAUAAUAUGAUAGUAUAAAAUAAAAUUGAGAAAAUAAAGGGUGAAAUCAAUAAUAUUUGGUUGUUAAUUUGAAAAUACUAAAUUUGAAGCUGAUUUUUUAUGGGUUUAGACUAGGAUUAGAUACCCUAUUAUACCAAAAGGUAAUAUAAUAGCCUAAUUAUUUAUAGAUAUGUUCUUGAAAUUUGAAGAAUUUGGCGGUGAUUUAGUCUUGUCAGAGGAAUUUGUUUUUUAAUCGAUAAACCACGUAAAAUCUUACUCGUUUUUGUUUUCAGCUUAUAUACCAUCAUUAGUAGAUAAUCUUAGUAGAGAGAUAAUUAUUAAGUUUUAUAUAUAAUCAAAAUUAGAUCAAGGUGUAGCUAAUAAAUGAGUUAAAAUGAAUUACAAUAAAAUUAUAUUUAUACGGAUUUAUUAAUGAAAUAUUAAAAAUAAAGGUGGAUUUGAUUGUAAUAUAAGUUUAAUAAGCUUAAAAGAUAUAAGUUCUAAAUCGUGUACAUAUCGCCCGUCGCUUUCAUAUAAAAAUGAAAUAAGUCGUAACAUAGUAGGUUUAUUGGAAAAUAAACCUGGAUUUAA